UUCCUCUGUCUCUCUCUAACUUGUAUCCUCAUCUCUCCCACAGUUGACCACACGAGGGUAAAGCUGACUUUAAAAACAACCAAUCAGGAUGCAGAUUACAUCAAUGCCAGCUUCAUCAAGGGAAUGGAUGGUCCAGAGGCCUACAUCGCUACCCAGGGUCCUCUAACCAACACUGUCAUCGACUUCUGGAGAAUGAACUGGGAGUACAGUGUAGCUGUCAUCGUAAUGGCAUGUCGAGAAUCUCGAGAUGGAAGGGUAA